CGGUAUCUGGCUCAGGAUGAACGCUAGCUACAGGCUUAACACAUGCAAGUCGAGGGGCAGCAUGGGAGUUGCUGCAACUUCCGAUGGCGACUGGCGCACGGGUGAGUAACGCGUAUCCAACCUGGCCCUUAGUAGGGAGCAGCCCGGCGAAAGUCGGAUUAAUGCCCUAUGUUUUUCCAAUGAUGGCAUCUGACUUGGAACAAAGAUUCAUCGCUAAGGGAUGGGGAUGCGUCUGAUUAGCUUGUCGGCGGGGUAACGGCCCACCGAGGCGACGAUCAGUAGGGGUUCUGAGAGGAAGGUCCCCCACAUUGGUACUGAGACACGGACCAAACUCCUACGGGAGGCAGCAGUGAGGAAUAUUGGUCAAUGGGCGUAAGCCUGAACCAGCCAAGUAGCGUGCAAGGGAUGACUGCCCUAUGGGUUGUAAACUGCUUUUAUGCGGGAAUAAAGUCAGGUACGCGUACCUGUUUGUAUGUACCGCAUGAAUAAGGACCGGCUAAUUCCGUGCCAGCCGCUGC
rnacentral:rRNA from 1 species